rnacentral:lncRNA from 1 species
GCUUGAGCUGUGUUCAAGGUUAAAGUACUGCAGAAUUGUUUGCCAUUUCUUCCACAGGCAGAUUUAGUUAUGCUCAGCCUUUCGCUUUCCUUACUCACCAUUUCAGGCAAAGACCAUUUAUGGGCUGCUUCCCCCCUGCAUUGGAGAUGCAGUGUCUGGCCUGCUUGCAUGAUGUGCUGGGUGCCUUUUAAACUCAGUUCAGGAUCUUUUAAUUUUGAACCUGAA